rnacentral:rRNA from 1 species
UAUGAGUUAGUGGCGGACGGGUGAGUAACGCGUGGGUAACCUGCCGUAUACCGGGGGAUAACACCUGGAAACAGGUGCUAAUACCGCAUAAGCGCACGGGACCGCAUGGUCCAGUGUGAAAAACCGAGGUGGUAUGCGAUGGACCCGCGUCUGAUUAGCCAGUUGGCAGGGUAACGGCCUACCAAAGCGACGAUCAGUAGCCGGCCUGAGAGGGUGGACGGCCACAUUGGGACUGAGACACGGCCCAAACUCCUACGGAAGGCAGCAG